UGACCUUUCAGAUUUCAGUUUCGUGACUAUGAGAUGACAGAUCAAAAGCGUAUUAAAACCGGAAGGGAGCGACAGCAUCAGCUUCAUAGCUUGAUGGCAGAGGUGACAUCAGCAACAAAUACAAGAGGGGGACCCCAACUUGUCACAUUUCUCUCAAACCCUCCCCUUUAAACAUCGAAAGCCUGGGAACCCGACACCGCAUUUCUCUCAAAUCCUCCCCUCUAAUUGUUGAAAGCAAUUACUGGCCACAAA
rnacentral:lncRNA from 1 species